ACUCGGGUAGCUCAACAGGCAGAGCGGCGGUCUCCAAAACCGCAGGCUGGUGGUUCGAUUCCAUCCCUGAGUGCCA
rnacentral:tRNA from 1 species